ensembl:lncRNA
CUUCAUCGAGCAGUACGGAAGACGAAGAAAAUACACCGGAAUGUCUUAAUAAAUCAAAAAACAAACAUUGUUUUAUGCAUAUUACUUCAGUCAAGCACGAAGAGGUACAUUAUUUCACCACUACACGAUGGAAUACAUACAGGACAAGCCUACAAACGUGGCUCGGCUCUGGAGGUGCAGUACCACAAAGGCUGUUAAAAUCAGUACACCAGAGAAAGAACAGUAAGUUAUUUAUUAAAUUGCAUUUCAAGGAGCUACUAACUUAACAUUAUAUAAGUAAACAUUCAAUCUGCAUUCUGUUGUAUGUGCACACAAUCACAACCCUUAUUCAUUUAUUUCCUUCUCAUUUAUAUGUGUUCUAGGAAUGAGCCCACGUUUGAUGUCAGCUAUAAGUUAUUCUGUGAGAGGAUCAUUCGCCAAAGGCUGCUUGUCAACCAAGAGGUGCAGAGAAUGGGCCAGCUGAGGAAGGCCUUCAUUGAACUGGUGAAAGCAAAUGAAGGUCUUGAAGCUUCAAACUACAGACAGGAUAUGUUGAAGAAGAGGCUGACUCGUGAUUUCCCCCAUCAGUAUCAAAAACCUAGAACGGUCAUGUAUAGAGCUGAUGCAGGGUCACAACGCAUGCAAAUCUUUGGCCCGGAUCAGAGGACCCCAACCCAAUGGAAAAAGUUUCUCUCAGAAGGAACAAAUACCGAAUUCCUGGACUGGCAACAGGACACGUAUCAUUGACAUUACCAAGGUGUCAUCAGCUCUCGGAACCAGUGUGUGUUCAGCCUUGAUCGGAA